AACUCAUCUUCUCUUUCUCUCUCACGAACACGACGGCGGCCGGAGCAUUUCACUAUCUCCGUCGAGCAACUUGCAGCGGUCAGAGAAAUCCGAUUCGGAUCCAUCUUGAUCUCCCUCGAUUCUGCUCGCGAUAUCCUCUUCUUCUUCUUUUUUUUUUUGAUUCCUUCUUCUGAGUUGUUGAUGGCGCUGCGUCUUUGUUGUUGUCGAUAGGGUUGAAGAAUGAUUCGGUGAUGACGGUACUACUGAAGGUCGUCAAAGGAGAUUGAUGACGUUGCAAUUGCGAAUUCGUGGAGAUUGCGGUGAUAUCAUGGAUGAUUGAGGGUUCCAGAAUGAAGUUAAAGUGAUGAUAUGCGUUGGAGAUGAAGAUUGAAGAUGAUGCGAAAUAAACGCAAAGGAUGAAACAACUCUUCAGGAGAGUCUUGAGAUUGAUGAUUGGUGAAGAGGUUGAUUGUAUGGUGAAUUGUGAAAGAUGGUGAUGAAUGUUCAAGUGAAGAAUGGAAGAAGGCGAGGGUGAUGAUGAAUGAAUGAAGGUUGAGAAGAAGAUGAAGAAUGUUGAAGAGUGAAGCAAAGAAGUGGUGGAGGAUUGGUGUUGAUUGAUGAAGAUGAUGAGAGGCUCAAGGUGAGAAAAAUGGGAGAGAGUGAAGGUGAGUUUGAAGAAUGAAUAGAAAAAUGGUGGAGAAUUGUGGUGGGUGAAGAUUGCAAAAAGGUAGAGGUUAAAGAAUAUAUAGAGGUGAAGGUUUUGGCUUGGCUUGAAACAUGAGGCGUGAGGAUAUGAAAGCUUGAAGUGGAUAUGUUCGAGAUGGAUCGUGUGCAAUGUGAAAAGCUUGAAACCUGAAUUUGUUGAAUUUUGUAACAUGUACUUAGAUGGCUGCAGCAAGUUCUUUUUUCCUCGAUAUAAUCUUUCCUUUGCGAUUUGUAGUGCCUCUGUAAUAAGUUAGGAUUAUCAAUUUGUAGGCUUGGAAUAUAAUGUGAUGCAUUCUUGGAAAGUGCAAUGUAACUUUUGGUCUUUGUAAUGUAUUUGGAUUUGUAAGAUGAAGCUUUAAUUUCCUCUUC